GCAAUCUCAGGGGGCAGUAUUACUGAGACAUAUGCGUUGUGAUGAAUUCAGGCUGAUUGUGUCACAACGUGCCGUAGGUACUGGCGAACCUUUCGUCAGUAGAAGGGCAUUAAUAGCGCGGACCUGCCACCAAAUAGAGCAGGAGCAUAUUGAAGGAACCCAACA
rfam:Photobacterium sp. 13-12 scaffold5, whole genome shotgun sequence.